rnacentral:rRNA from 1 species
GAUGAACGCUGGCGGCGUGCCUAAUACAUGCCAGUCGAGCGAACGGACGAGAAGCUUGCUUCUCUGAUGUUAGCGGCGGACGGGUGAGUAACACGUGGAUAACCUACCUAUAAGACUGGGAUAACUUCGGGAAACCGUAGCUAAUACCGGAUAAUAUUUUGAACCGCAUGGUUCAAAAGUGAAAGACGGUCUUGCUGUCACUUAUAGAUGGAUCCGCGCUGCAUUAGCUAGUUGGUAAGGUAACGGCUUACCAAGGCAACGAUGCAUAGCCGACCUGAGAGGGUGAUCGGCCACACUGGAACUGAGACACGGUCCAGACUCCUACGGGAGGCAGCAGUAGGGAAUCUGCCGCAAUGGGCGAAAGCCUGACGGAGCAACGCCGCGUGAGUGAUGAAGGUCUUCGGAUCGUAAAACUCUGUUAUUAGGGAAGAACAUAUGUGUAAGUAACUGUGCACAUCUUGACGGUACCUAAUCAGAAAGCCACGGCUAACUACGU